AUGAAUUUAGACCAUCAGAAUACUACUGUGAUGGGAGCCUUAGCAGGAGAUCCUCCAGAAACCAGUCAGAGCAGAAAGAGGCUUCACCUUUGGAGUUUUACGUUUAAUACCAAGCCAGGAGCUCUGCUGACAGUUUGUUUGCUUUAUGCAACCAUUUAAACUUCUGACUGAAAAGAAAUCAGG